rnacentral:piRNA from 1 species
GCCUGGCUGUCCUGGAACUCACUUGUA